GUUCCCUAUCCUUUAAGUGGUCACAACCAAAAUUAGGGUGAGCAGCUGCGCCAAAAGCCUAGGCCCCGGUGGUGUUCACUUGGCCGCCACUGCCGGCCACGGCGGCGGCGGCCCAUCCCUCCCUUUCCCCUCUUCUCCCCUCUCUCUCUUCCCCGCCCCCUCUGUCUCGACAUCGGUGCCGUCAUCUUCUCGGCCUCCCGCCGGUUGGAUCCAUCGGGCGCUGGUCGGAUCUGCCUUUCGGUCGCCGUUGCCCCUCCGCCACGCCUCGCGCCAGCCGGUCCUGCUGAGCGCCGGCCUGAUCCGCCUCCCUCUAGUCGGAUCUGCUUGGCGUCGGCCUCUCGCCGCUACUGCUCCGCAUCCUGGGCUUCCUCACCGAUGCACGAUCCUGGCACCACGCCACGCCGGUGUGCUACCGGCUCCUUGCGGCGGAGCGGACCACAUGGUCUGUGCUCACGCUGAGCAGGGACCCACGAUCGCUCGCGUUCCUCAUCAUUAGGCCGACUUUCUACUUCUCGACGCUGGAGCAGCUUGACCUCUCACUGGUGUCGUCGUCGCCUCUCGCCGGCCGGUCGCGUCUCGCGGUGCCAGGCGAGCGGCCCUGUUGCCAUUGGCUGGGUACCGUUGACAUGGCCGCCCCCGCUGGCUCGCAUCGCCGUGGCUGGCACACGUGACGACAGGGGCGGCCGGCGGUGGUGGCUAGGCCCUAGCCGCUGCUGCAUGCGGUAGGCUUCGGCUUCAAUGGAUUCGGCUCCCCUUGGGCCCUCGUCGCCUCGCCUUCAGGGUCGUGCACUCGUGCCGCCACCGUCAGCCCCCAUCGCCGUCUCUGGGCCCCUGAGAGGAGCAUGACCCGAGCCUCCACCCUUGUCGCCAGGAGAACGGGGCUACUCCGCCACCUCGGCUUCCUUAAGGGCCGACCUAGCACCCCCGCCCCCUCGUCGCCUCCACAUCUUCAAGGUUGUGCCGCCAAAGCUGGCCUCCAUAGCCUGCACUGGACCCCUGAUUGGAGCACGACCUAAGCCUCCAUCCUCGACACUGGGAGUUUAGGGCUACUCCUGUCACCCCGGCUAUCCUUGGCUGCUGUUGUGUUCGUUGUGGCAUUGCCGCUAGCAUGAGCAGGGUUUUUGGGGUCUCAUACGAAAGCCAUGCCAGGUGUAGUCUGCACAGACAACAGCAAUGCCCUCGACGCCGAUGACCUCCUUGGAUUGUUGUAAGGUUCUCUUGUGUCGUUGUGCUUGGCACUGGCGUUCCAGCCUUUGUCGUGGUGCGACGAGUGCCUUCCUUUGGUGCGUCUGCUCCGUCAGCACUCUCCUUGUUAACAGAAGCAUAUUAAUCUUAUGCUAGGUCGGUGAAUAUCCGCCUCUCCUGCCAUUCACCCAUGAGGAUUUCUCCUCAAGCGGCGUUGGAUGGUGGCAUUAGAGCCCGGAUGCGCCAUCGGGUGUUUCUGUUUUCUCGAAAGGAGAUCGUCGUUUUCGGCACUCAUACCGAAUUCAUUGUUGGCCCCAAGCAUGUUUGAAGCGAAAUUAAUAGUCUCCCUCACUGUCAUUUCGGGAUGAUGGAGGUCAUUCUGGCUGACGUACGCACAGAGGUGCUGCGAUGUAGAUGACAUUGUUUCCCCAUUACACUUGUAUUUGACAUCUCCAUGGAUCUAUUGACAAGAAAUCAGAAAAUUAAUGAUGUUCGUUUUUCUAUCACAAAAGUACGUACUAACUUCUUAGGAAUAACCACUAAUCAAUACAUGCUGCUUCUGUGACAUGGUUUUGAUUUAUUUACACUAAUUUUGAGGACUGGACUGGACUAGUACUACCUUCAAAGAAGAAUCUAGUUUUCCUGCCAGUGCUUUUAACAGGGUCGUCUUUCCUGAUCCGGGUGCUCCAAGAAGAAGUGUCAUUCUGGCCACACAAGAAAAGCACCUGAUUGAUUACAGGCUGACCAGGUUAUUAAUUAGACUGAACAAGUCAUUGAAACAUUUUUAGAGAAACUGCCAUUUUUCACUGUGGUGUGCUGUUUAAUACCGAAUGGUCAUGGGACUGUACCUGGAUGA